ensembl:lncRNA
GUAAGUAUUAAUUUUCAAAGAAACCAUUGGAAAGACUGUCUGUUUUUAAAAGUAUUGCUCCCAAAGAAAGAUGAGUGCAAAUAUACAGAGCCUGAACCUGGCAACACUAUUAGGGUAAAUAAAAUGGGUAAAUAAAAAUGUGUGAUUUUAACAUAAUAUUGGCAAACUUUCAUUAAACUAAUCAGUAAACAUGUAGAACAAGUUUACUUGUUCAAUUUACUGUCAGUGUGAGGAUAUUAAUGAAUACUAGAUAUCAUGCCGUUAAUGUUUAAAAUACAAGUGAAGUAUACACUGUUUGUUCCUUAAAAGUCUUGGAAGAUUCAGGCUGGACGUUAGGAAAUACUACUUCUCUGAAAGGGUGGUCAGGCACUGGAAUGGGCUGCCCAGAGAGGUGGUGGAGUCACCGACCCUGGUGGUGUUCAGAGAGCGUUUGGAUGUUGUAUUGAGGGACAUGGUUUAGCGGGAACCAUUGGUGUUCAAAGAGUGUUUGGAUGUUGUAUUGAGGGACAUGGCUUAGCGAGAACCAUUGAUGAAGGGCGAACGAAUGGUUGGACUGGAUGAUCCUGUGAGUCUUUUCCAACCUUAGCGAUUCUAUGAUUCUGUAAGAAUCUUAAUUGCAGCUUGCAU